GAACUGCGAUAAGUAAUGUGAAUUGCAGAAUUCAGUGAAUCAUCGAGUCUUUGAACGCACAUUGCGCCCCCUGGCAUUCCGGGGGGCAUGCCUGUCCGAGCGUCAUUGCUGCCCUUCAAGCCAGGCUUGUGUGUUGGGUCGUCGUCCCCUCCGGGGGACGGGCCCGAAAGGCAGCGGCGGCACCGCGUCCGGUCCUCGAGCGUAUGGGGCUUUGUCACCCGCUCGAUAAGGACCGGCCGGGCGCCAGCCGGCGUCUCCAACCUUUUUUUCUCAGGUUGACCUCGGAUCAGGUAGGGAUACGCGCUGAACUUAAGC
rnacentral:misc_RNA from 1 species